CGAUUAUUUGCCUAUAUUUAAGUGGCCGAGAAAGUAAAGUCCUCCAAAGGUUCACACAGCUCAGUUCUACACCAAGAAGAAAGAAGAGUUUUAACCUCUGAAGACUCUGACACAGAGGAUAAUGCCAACAGGCCCUGCUGCGCACUCUCCAGUUCCUCAACACCUCUGCGCAUCUCUCUGAUCGAAUCUCGUUUCUCCACAACCACCAGCAACUUAGCACAAAAUAUACCACAGAGCUGCUUCCUUGAGUUUUCAUUUCUGAAGUCUC
rnacentral:lncRNA from 1 species